AGAGUUUGAUCCUGGCNNNNNNNNNACGCUGGCGGCGUGCUUAACACAUGCAAGUCNAACGAUGAUCCCAGCUUGCUGGGGGAUUAGUGGCGAACGGGUGAGUAACACGUGAGUAACCUGCCCUUAACUCUGGGAUAAGCCUGGGAAACUGGGUCUAAUACCGGAUAUGACUCCUCAUCGCAUGGUGGGGGGUGGAAAGCUUUAUUGUGGUUUUGGAUGGACUCGCGGCCUAUCAGCUUGUUGGUGAGGUAAUGGCUCACCAAGGCGACGACGGGUAGCCGGCCUGAGAGGGUGACCGGCCACACUGGGACUGAGACACGGCCCAGACUCCUACGGGAGGCAGCAGUGGGGAAUAUUGCACAAUGGGCGAAAGCCUGAUGCAGCGACGCCGCGUGAGGGAUGACGGCCUUCGGGUUGUAAACCUCUUUCAGUAGGGAAGAAGCGAAAGUGACGGUACCUGCAGAAGAAGCGCCGGCUAACUACGUGCCAGCCGCCGCGGUAAUUC
rnacentral:rRNA from 1 species